GACGAACGCUGGCGGCGUGCUUAACACAUGCAAGUCGAACGGGAAGGCCCUGCUUUUGUGGGGUGCUCGAGUGGCGAACGGGUCAGUAACACGUGAGUAACCUGCCCUUGACUUUGGGAUAACUUCAGGAAACUGGGGCUAAUACCGGAUAGGAGCUCCUGCUGCAUGGUGGGGGUUGGAAAGUUUCGGCGGUUGGGGAUGGACUCGCGGCUUAUCAGCUUGUUGGUGGGGUAGUGGCUUACCAAGGCUUUGACGGGUAGCCGGCCUGAGAGGGUGACCGGCCACAUUGGGACUGAGAUACGGCCCAGACUCCUACGGGAGGCAGCAGUGGGGAAUAUUGCACAAUGGGCGGAAGCCUGAUGCAGCAACGCCGCGUGCGGGAUGACGGCCUUCGGGUUGUAAACCGCUUUCGCCUGUGACGAAGCGUGAGUGACGGUAAUGGGUAAAGAAGCACCGGCUAACUACGUG
rnacentral:rRNA from 1 species